GGAUGACAGCACCAGUGAGGAAACCGGGCACUAGUGGUCCCUUCCUGCACAAGCUGUGCAGACAUGGCCAGUGUGACUCCCCAGUGGACUGGAUGCAGACAUGAGGAAGAGGCAGCUGGACAGGGACUCAUGGCUGGAGCAACUUCAGGGUAGCCCCAGCAUCCCAGCCCAGCCAGCCCCACCUGUUGGAAUGUUCUAUCUGAGGCUGCUGUGGAGUCUUCCCCAUAGGCCCUGGCCAGUGACACCUGAGACUCACCUCCUGUAGGUGAGGACCAGGGGCUUGAACCUGGGUCCUUGUGCACUGUAAUUUGAGCGCUUCACCAGGUGCAUCACCACCUGGCCCCAGGACUGUCCCUUCUACAGCUGGAACAAGAGGCUGUCACAGGGUGACACUGCUGCCAAUCAGGUGGGCUGUGCCUCUACAGAUGCCCAGACCAAGAUGGAGAAGCAGGUCUCAACAGAAGAAGAGGACUCAA